rnacentral:rRNA from 1 species
UACGUAGGGGGCUAGCGUUGUCCGGAUUUAUUGGGCGUAAAGAGCGUGUAGGCGGCCUGACAGGUCUGCUGUGAAAACUCGAGGCUCAACCUCGAGAUGUCGGCGGAAACCGUCUGGCUAGAGUCCGGAAGAGGAGAGUGGAAUUCCUGGUGUAGCGGUGAAAUGCGCAGAUAUCAGGAAGAACACCCGUGGCGAAGGCGGCUCUCUGGGACGGUACUGACGCUGAGACGCGAAAGCGUGGGGAGCGAACAGG